AAUGGACGAAAGUCUGACGCAGCAACGCCGCGUGAGGGAUGAAGGCCUUCGGGUUGUAAACCUCUUUAUCAGGGAAGAUGAUGACGGUACCUGAUGAAUAAGUCACGGCUAACUACGUGCCAGCAGCCGCGGUAAUACGUAGGUGACAAGCGUUGUCCGGAUUUACUGGGCGUAAAGAGCGCGCAGGCGGUCGUUCAAGUCGAGUGUGAAAGCCCCCGGCUCAACUGGGGAGGGUCAUUCGAUACUGAUCGACUCGAAGGCAGGAGAGGGUAGUGGAAUUCCCGGUGUAGUGGUGAAAUGCGUAGAUAUCGGGAGGAACACCAGUGGCGAAGGCGACUACCUGGCCUGUUCUUGACGCUGAGGCGCGAAAGCUAGGGGAGCAAACGGGAUUAGAUACCCCGGUAGUCCUAGCCGUAAACGAUGGACACUAGGUGUUGGUGGUAUCAACCCCGCCAGUGCCGAAGCUAACGCAUUAAGUGUCCCGCCUGGGGAGUACGGCCGCAAGGCUA
rnacentral:rRNA from 1 species